rnacentral:rRNA from 1 species
AUUGAACGCUGGCGGCAGGCUUAACCCAUGCAAGUCGAGCGAGCCGCGGACGGGUGAGUAAUGUCUGGGAAACUGCCUGAUGGAUGGGUAUAACUACUGGAAACGGUAGCUACUAACGCAUUCCAUCAGCUGUGCCCAGAUGGGAUUAGCUAGUAGGUGGGGGAAUGGCUCACCUCGGCGACGAUCCCUAGCUGGUCUGAGAGGAUGGCCAGCCACACUGGAACUGAGACACGGUCCAGACUCCUACGGGAGGCAGCAGUGGGGAAUAUUGCACAAUGGGCGCAAGCCUGAUGCAGCCAUUCCGCGUGUGGGAAGAAGGCCUUCGGGUUGUAAAGCACUUUCAGCGAGGAGGCGUUACUCGCAGAAGAAGCACCGGCUAACUCCGUGCCAGCAGCCGCGGUAAUUC